CUCUUUGAGUUCCUCUGAAAGUCGUCGGAUGUCUUCCAUAAGGUCGUAUUAGGUCCUCUCCAUGCCGCAUACAGACAGCAGUUGGAGUCGGACGUACGAACGGGGCUGCAAACUCACCUGUACCACUCCAGGUACAUCCGUCACCGCACUCCGCCAUGGAGGAUCGGAUCAACAGCAUUGCUUGGCGAUCGUACACCUAUGCAGUAGCCACAACAUUUGUUGACAAACUUAUAAAAUAUAGCGCAGGAAACAAACAAAACCAGUUGGGGUGAACAACCAGCCGCAGCGGCGAAGCCAAACACAGGCGCCAUGCCGGAACCGGAAAGAGGAUAAGUAAUAAGUCUUUAGACUUCAGGAAAGCCUCGUUUUGACUCUCACUCCAAGUUCAGGUACUGAACUUCGUGCAUUUGCUUCUUUUUAGCCUGAGACCAGCAUCCUCCAACCUGGUUCACACCUCAUCCAGGUUCCUGAGGUGCAUUUCUUUGGUUGCUCCAGUAACCAAAAUAUCAUCCAAAUAGAGGAGACCUGCUACUGACCCUGAUCCCAUCCUCGACGCCAAUAUAACAUAGUGGAUCAGCGUUUGUCAAAGGAGGGACCAGGGCUUCAGCAACCCAGAUGAAGGCAGAUACAAGGAUCUUGGAAUUCAUCACAGUCUGGACAUGUGGCAUGGUGCCAAGAAGCUGGUCAAAAAAAUAGCUGCUGCACUGUGGGUUGGCAUCAUUCACCAUGUCUGUGACGUUCACACCUGGA